GACGAACGCUGGCGGCGUGCUUAACACAUGCAAGUCGAACGGAAAGGCCCUGCUCUUGUGGGGUGCUCGAGUGGCGAACGGGUGAGUAACACGUGAGUAACCUGCCCCUGACUUUGGGAUAACUUCAGGAAACUGGGGCUAAUACCGGAUAGGAGCUCCUGCUGCAUGGUGGUGGAUGGAAAGUUUCGGCGGUUGGGGAUGGACUGGCGGCUUAUCAGCUUGUUGGUGAAGUAGUGGCUUACCAAGGCUUUGAAGGGUAGCCGACCUGAGAGGGUGGCCGGCCACAUUAGGACUGAGAUACGGCGCAGACGCCUACGGGAGGCAGCAGUCGGGAAUAUUGCACAAUGGGCGGACGCCUGAUACAGCAACGCCGCGUGCGUGAUGACGGCCUUCGAGUUGUAAACCGCUUUCGCAUGUGACGAAGCGUGAGUGACGGUACUGGAUAAGGAAGCACCGGCUAACUACGUG
rnacentral:rRNA from 1 species